rnacentral:rRNA from 1 species
UACGGAGGGGGCUAGCGUUGUUCGGAAUUACUGGGCGUAAAGCGUACGUAGGCGGCUUUGUAAGUUAGAGGUGAAAGCCCGGGGCUCAACCCCGGAAUUGCCUUUAAGACUGCAUCGCUUGAAUCAUGGAGAGGUGAGUGGAAUUCCGAGUGUAGAGGUGAAAUUCGUAGAUAUUCGGAAGAACACCAGGUGGCGAAGGCGACUCACUGGACAUGUAAUUGACGCUGAGGUACGAAAGCGUGGGGAGCAAACAGG